UGGGGAAUUUUGGACAAUGGGCGCAAGCCUGAUCCAGCAAUGCCGCGUGCAGGAUGAAGGCCUUCGGGUUGUAAACUGCUUUUGUACGGAACGAAACGGUGAGCUCUAAUAAAGCUUGCUAAUGACGGUACCGUAAGAAUAAGCACCGGCUAACUACGUGCCAGCAGCCGCGGUAAUACGUAGGGUGCGAGCGUUAAUCGGAAUUACUGGGCGUAAAGCGUGCGCAGGCGGUUAUAUAAGACAGAUGUGAAAUCCCCGGGCUCAACCUGGGACCUGCAUUUGUGACUGUAUAGCUAGAGUACGGUAGAGGGGGAUGGAAUUCCGCGUGUAGCAGUGAAAUGCGUAGAUAUGCGGAGGAACACCGAUGGCGAAGGCAAUCCCCUGGACCUGUACUGACGCUCAUGCACGAAAGCGUGGGGAGCAAACA
rnacentral:rRNA from 2 species